CUACGUGAGUACGUAGUUUGAUCCGUGGCUCGACGGACGAACGCUGGCGGCGUGCUUAACACAUGCAAGUCGAACGGAGUUCCUUGGAUAGAGGCUUCGGCCAAUUGAAUUGGAACUUAGUGGCGGACUGGUGAGUAACGCGUGAGGAACCUGCCUUUCAGAGGGGGACAACAGUUGGAAACGACUGCUAAUACCGCAUGACACAUUCGGAUGGCAUCACCUGAAUGUCAAAGAUUUUAUCGCUGAAAGAUGGCCUCGCGUCUGAUUAGUUAGUUGGUGGGGUAACGGCCCACCAAGGCGACGAUCAGUAGCCGGACUGAGAGGUUGACCGGCCACAUUGGGACUGAGAUACGGCCCAGACUCCUACGGGAGGCAGCAGUGGGGAAUAUUGGGCAAUGGACGCAAGUCUGACCCAGCAACGCCGCGUGAAGGAAGAAGGCUUUCGGGUUGUAAACUUCUUUUAAGUGGGAAGAGCAAAAGACGGUACCACUUGAAUAAGCCACGGCUAACUACGUG
rnacentral:rRNA from 1 species